GGGGGGGGGAGGGUUGCCCGCCAGCCGGCCGGCCAGGAAGUUUGCCUUGCAGGGCGACCGCGCUUUUCCCUCUCCCCACUAAGCCUGUUACGGGCACAUUCUCAUAUCCUUAAACGUACAAGCAGAUAAUUGUUGGCGCUCUAUCUUUGUACGGAGGAGGCCAGGGUGUAAAUGCCUUUUAAUGACUGCAGCUGCUGGCUGAAAACUGUCAAUGGAAUUGGCUAAUACGGAGCCCCCGGAAAAAGAGAGAGAGAGAGAGAGAGAGAGAGAGAGAGAGAGAAAGAGAGUGGGGGGGAAGGAGCCGUUUUUGCUAGCGAAGCUUCUCCUCCUGAGCGCCGCAAGAGCCGAAGAGAGGGACUUGGCGAGGGAAGAAAGAAAGAAAGAAAGAAAGAAAGAAAGAAAGAAAGAAAGAAAGAAAGAAAGAAAUGGUGGAGAUGGAGAAACAAGAGCGAGCGAGUCAGCAAUUGGAGGAAAGAUCUCAGCCAGCUCCCUACCCUCCUCUUCACCAAGGCCGGGGAGCUCAAGUCAUCUUGACCCUGAAAAUCCUUUCCGGAUCCUAAACGGCCUUCUAGGCGUCUGUGGAACGUGCCAACNGCGCGCGGGCGGGCGCGCGCGCAUAUACGAAGCAAGAGCGCGCAUGUCUUUUGGCAGCCCACUUCGUUCUCAGUACCCGCCUUGCUCUCUCUGAGAUCCAGAGGAAAGGAGAGGAAGAAAUGAAAUUCAGUUGGAAUGGCUCUCCUUCGCCCCGUCAGCCGUUCAGCCUCAUUUGGUCUGCUGGGACUUGAUACUUGCCGGCCCGGCUGAAAGUUUCACUUCCAUCAGUCCGACUCAGCCCUGAUACCUAUGAACACACGCACAGCCUGCGCGCGCGCGUACACGUCCCCAGCUUCGUUGAGGUUGAAGAAAAGCUCGGGGUUCAACCGCUUUCCGGUUUCGUGCAAAUUACUUAGAAUCCCAGGGUUUUGGCUGUCCGAAAGCGACAAAGAGGUGUGUGUGUGUGUGUGUGUGUGUGUGUGUGUAUCAGUGUGUGUAUCAGUGUGUGUAUCAGUGUGUGUAUCAGUGUGUGUAUCAGUGUGUGAGUAUGCGCCUGCCUGUAAAACCCUUCCCUGCAGAAUCAGUCAGCGCAUUUUCCACAGCUGAGUAAGGAGGUGUUGAGAGGUAACACGAGAACUGUUUUUAUGGUGUUUAAUGGAACUUAAUCUGGAAUCUUAAUAGGCUGUAAGUUGCGGACUGCCAAACGCCUUUCAUCUGCGUUACUGUGCAGGCGGAACGCGCUCAAAGAGAAUGACUCCUUUUUAACUGUGCAAAGCUAGGGGUCAUUAUGCCGUUGUUGUCUGGUAUCAUCCAAUUCAGGGCCAACUUCCCCUACACACACACACACACACACACACACCUUCGUACAGUUUUCUAAUGGCAGAGAUAUGGAAAUGGUUCGUCAUUGACUUAUUCAAGAGAGAACCUGGGGAUCGAACCUCCGACCCUGUGCUUUCAGACAGCUUGCUCUACCACUGAGCUGCACCCAUUUGUUAGAGGCGCUUAAUUCUGAUCAGCGUAGCUUUCUCAGAAGUAAUGGUGUGCACAGGAGGGCAGCAAUUUCAUCCACCUAUUUGCAUGAAGAAAGAUUUUAGCACCUAUCUCCCUUCUGCCUUGCUUUCUCUCUUAAAAUACUGUUUUAGAAGCACUUAAUGUUUCUGGUCUUGAGGAAUUAUGCAGGAGGAUGGGUCAUAUAUACAUAUAUCUACGGAAUAGAGUCAGGGUUAACACUGAGACCUGAUCCAGCCCUUAUUCACAAAUAAAUGGCCAACACUCUUGAGUUGUUUCCCUUCU
ensembl:lncRNA